CAAGCUGCUCACAUGUGCCCUCCUCCAGGAGCCCUGCUUGGAGGAGCAGAGAUGUCAGCUGCAACCCUCCAGGUUCAGCUCAGGGAACACCCCCUUCUCAGUCUGGCUUCCUUUUUCUUUUCUCUCAGGAGUUUCCUAGAUCUGAGAUCUCAAGACCAUGGGCUCUUCGUCUCCCACAUAUGAGGAGCCUGCCUUCAGCAGUUGCAAAUAGAAGAUCAUUUGAUUCCACCAGACCUUCAAAAUCUGGGUUUUGACCUUGACGAUAUUUAUUGACUGAAGUCAUCCAAACAAGGACUUCCGAAGGCUGUAGCAUCCAGUGGUUUUUAUAGAGGAAAGGUCCACUCCAACAUGAAGACACUGGGAGGAAAGGAAGAAUAGCGAAGGAAGCUAAAAGUGGAAUCACUGGCAUAGGAGGAGAAACAAAGAAAGUCCAUCCAGGAAGCCGGAAUGGUUCAGCGGUGAGGAUAAGGCUGCAUCACUGGAAUGCAUUUCGUGUUGAUAUAAGAAAUUGGCAGAAUUUGGAAAAUGGAG